GCCGGAGUGGCGGAAUUGGCAGACGCGCUGCGUUCAGGUCGCAGUGACCGCAAGGUCGUGGGGGUUCAAAUCCCUUCUCCGGUACCA
rnacentral:tRNA from 1 species